AUUGAACGCUGGCGGAAUGCUUUACACUUGCAAGUCGAACGGCAGCACGGGGGCAGCCCUGGUGGCGAGUGGCGAACGGGUGAGUAAUACAUCGGAACGUGCCCGGUCGUGGGGGAUAACGUAGCGAAAGUUACGCUAAUACCGCAUACGAUCUGAGGAUGAAAGCGGGGGACCUUCGGGCCUCGCGCGAUCGGAGCGGCCGAUGUCAGAUUAGGUAGUUGGUGGGGUAAAGGCCUACCAAGCCGACGAUCUGUAGCUGGUCUGAGAGGACGACCAGCCACACUGGGACUGAGACACGGCCCAGACUCCUACGGGAGGCAGCAGUGGGGAAUUUUGGACAAUGGGCGCAAGCCUGAUCCAGCCAUUCCGCGUGCAGGACGAAGGCCUUCGGGUUGUAAACUGCUUUUGUACGGAACGAAAAGGCUCUGGCUAAUACCUGGGGCUCAUGACGGUACCGUAAGAAUAAGCACCGGCUAACUACGUG
rnacentral:rRNA from 1 species